AGGAGCAGGAGGUGAAAGAAAGAUUUGGCAAUGUGACUAUUUCUACUAUUCCUCUAAGGGAGAAACAUUUCCCCACUGUCCAAUAUCUAGAAAAUGGCAGGACUGUCUCGCAAAUCCAGGUCGUCGGAACCCUAAACCCUUAACUACUGUGGUUUCUCUUCAUGGUACCAUCGUCCUUUUGGGGUGGAAUUGACUGUGGUUCGGGGAGACAGCUCUAAGAGCUCUGCACUUGACCCAGAAGCGCUAUUGAAACGCUGCCAGAGGGAAGACGUCGGUUGCCCACCUCAACGAUGCCAGCAGGGUAAGACGACUGAAAGAUUUUACUGAGGAAUAGUGAUCAUUGCAUCAGGCAAGACCUGUCUGUGGUGUCUGCCCAGAGAUCGGUAAGGAUGCGGUUGUAGUGUUCCAAAGGAGCGUUCAUCAGUGUGUGGAGACCAGUCAGGGGA